UACGGGGGGGGGCAAGCGUUGUUCGGAAUUAUUGGGCGUAAAGGGCUCGUAGGCGGUUUGUCGCGUCGGGAGUGAAAACCCAGGGCUUAACCCUGGGCUGGCUUCCGAUACGGGCAGACUAGAGGUAUGCAGGGGAGAACGGAAUUCCUGGUGUAGCGGUGAAAUGCGCAGAUAUCAGGAGGAACACCGGUGGCGAAGGCGGCACUCUGGGCCGGAACUGACGCUGAGGAGCGAAAGCGUGGGGAGCGAACAGG
rnacentral:rRNA from 1 species